UGCAUGGCCAGCAAAGUCUGAAAUAUUUACUAUCUGGUCCUUUACAGGAAAUAUUUGUUGACCUCUGAUGUGGAAGAGAAAAAAUUAUAUUGUGAGACCACCUUGAGAAGGGAAUGAGGCAGAGUCCCAAAGGACAGGGGUAGGCAAGAAAGACAUCAAACUGAAAGGGAGGUGAUCUGAAAUAGGCAUGGACUAACCCUGGAAGUCUGACCUAAGCCUUCUCGUCCUUAGGAAAGAAUCGUCACAACAACACAGAGAUUAAGAUUGACCCAAAUGAAGUGAGGAAGACCAGAAUCAGGACCCAUCCUGGCAUAUACCUUUCAACUGAUAACAUGGAGAUAUGGACAGAAGGCCCCUUGUGUGACUUUGGAAGGAGAUUUUGAGGGUUUUCUGAUUAAGAGGAGAAGCUCUACGGUAAGCCAGAGAAGAAAAGCAAGAAUCUAAGAACAAGGUGCUACUUGGUAUCUGCUGUCUGGGCCUAUGUAAUUUGGGGUUCCUAGCAGAGUAUGUAAUGCAUUCAGAGAGAGGUAUUUGUCUUUUCAAAAUAGGAUCCUGGACCUAAUGGGCACUGCUUGAAUUCAAUACCAGAAUACGAUUCUAAAUAUCAGUAAAGUUUAAGAUCAUAUACAUUGCAAUACUUCACAAGGUUUCUGGGCAGAGAUUUUAUGAAGAGAUGACAUAAUUAUUUUUUGAGUGUUCCUGACCCAAUACUCAAUAAAGAUAGCAGUAUACUGUUUACACGCAGGUGCAUAACAAAUUAUGAAGGACACAUAGUAAGUAAUAACCUUAGUGUCACAUUCCUCUCACAGCCUGAUGACUAUAGUUAAUAACUGUUUUUUUUACCUUGAAAUUUGAUGAGAGCAGGUUUUAAUUGUUCUCACUACACACACAUGCACACAUGCGUGCACACACACAAAUAACUGUGAGUGAUGCUGAAUAUGUUAACUAAUUGGAUUGUGGUCAUCACUAUACAAUGUAUACUUACAUCAAAUCAUCAUGUUGUAUACCUCAAACAUACACAUGUUUAUUUGUCAAUUAUCUCAUUAAAGCUGGAAAAAAUGUAUUUCUGACAGGUCAAGGAGAAAAAAGGCAAUACCUAAGAAAAAAGAAGCAGAAGCAUAAAGAUGCAAGUAGAUUGAUCACCUCCUGAGGUUAUCAAUGACUGUACAUUGAUGUCCGAUUUUGAUGUUUAUAAUUCUACCAAGUGAAUGUGUUCUGCAUUCUUAGACUUUCACAUCGAGGCUUCUCUAGGGAUUGGAAGGAGCUCCAUAAAGAUAAACUGUGUAACUACAUUCAACAUCCCCAGAAGCAGCAUCCUACUGCUUAAUAACCUCAUUUCCAGUAGUGUGUUGUCUCCAAGUGCAUGAGCACAUGCACAAACACAUAACACACUUGGUGGAACCAUAUAAUCUCCAUGUUGCAAGGGACUCUAAAGAGACUUGUAGUCCAGAAAGACUUACCCAGUGAUAAAUAUUCAUCACAUCAUCUCUAACUCUUCAUAAUAUUGGAUUCUACUAGAAAAAUACACAGGAAGAAAAAUCUAACUAUAUUUUGUGGUUGCCAAUUUCAUUUAUGCCUAUCCCAAUUGUUAAGAAAUUUUUGUUUUCAUCGUAUGGAACAGGAUUUCAUCUCCCCACAGACACCUCUCUGGGGUCCUAAUUAAACUUUCUUGGAUUAAAAUCAGCCAUAAAAAUCUCAGUUUUUAUAGUUAUCGCCACACUGCAUUGUGGCUUCUGGUGACAAAACAUUUGUUCAGGAUCUGCAUGCUUUUAACUUACCUGUCUAUCCUUUUAGUUCUCUCCUUAACUAAACUGGAAACACCAAUAGGCCUCCAGGGUAGAAUAUGAAGCCCUAAGCAAUUAACAGAUGUAGAGGGUUAUAGGAACACUGAGAAUUGCUAUGAUUGGUGUUUGGGGAGUCAUAGCCAGGGCUUGUAGCCCAGAGACAGAUGAUUUUGAUUUCCCACCUCUCUUUGAUGUCCUUGUUGACAGAUGAUGUGAAACUAGCUCCCCUGAGUGUAGUUUGUCUGAAUUUACUGGAUUUGCAGGUGUUUGGCUUCAUCCCACUAAUGGAUAAUGAUACAAAUGGUCUCUCAAGGCUUACUCAGUGCAGAAAGAUCUCAUGUAUCAUAGAAAACCAGAAUAUUAGAGUGAGAAGUAACUUUAAAGAUGAUCUAGUCUUACCCUGAUUUUGUUAUUUUAUUUUAUUUUAAUUUUUUCUCUUUCUUUUAGACUUCAAAUAUAGAGUGUCCUGUUAAUUAUAUUUCCUAGUGGUUCAAUGAUACUUCGCCUCGAUGUCCUCUUGAAUAUUUUCCCCUUUAUCACCCAUCUCUCUCCAUUCUCCCUUUCCCAUGAUUGGGUACUCACUCUAUGUCUUUAGAGAUGUAUGAUUCUUUGAAAAAUUAUGUUAUUAUUUUAUGCUUACAUGUGUUUUUAAUUUGCAUAAGUACAAGGUACUUUGUAUCUCAUUAUUUGUAGUUCUUUUCUCAUCAACAUUAUGUUUUGUGUGUUACUUCUGACAGCUGCUUAGUAAACCACUGCACACACUCCCCGUUUUCUGCCUACCCAUCCAUUCAUAGAUGCAUACCUAGAUUGUCAUAAACUCCUCACUUCCAUACAUAAUGCCCAGAUGAACAUUGUUAGCUAUGCAUCCUUAUAGAUCUAUGAACAGUUGUUUCUGGGAUACAUAUUAAAGAGGGGGUUUCUAGGAUUUACUAAUGUUUGAUUUUAUUAAAUACCUUAAAGUGCUCUCUGGAAUGACUGCAAGUCUAUACUUCUAACUGCGGGUGCGUUACCUUUUCCACAUAUUCAUGCCAAAUGUAGCAUUACUGUCUUCCUAAUUUUUGCCAACAUAAUGGAUAUAAAGUGUAUAAAGUGUUAUAGUUUAAUGUUAUUCUGAGUUUUUUUAUUACUUGUAUUUUAGGCAUCUCAUAUGCUUCUUGGUGUUUUAGGUUUCAUUGUCUGUGAAUUGCUUAUUUAUUUCCUUUUCCCAUUUUUUCAACUUAGCUUAUGAACUUUUAAAGUACAUUGGCAAGAAUUCUUUGAAUAUUUUUGACACUAACACUAUGGUUUUUUUCUUCAAACAUAAUAUAUUUAUCACACUCAGGAAA